UCACAGCUCUUGGGGGUAAAGAUAUAUGAGGCAGUCUCAAAAGAUACUCUUUCUAUUAGGUCUCUUGAGUUUUGAGCAACAGAAACGGACUGAGAUCAAUUUAAGCAAGAAAAAUGGGUCCAUGGGAAGGGCUUUGGGGUAGCUCACAGAACCAGAGGAAUAGCUGAACUACUGGCCUUGAGGAGGGGGCGGGGGGAGGGAGAGCCAGGGUAGCUCUGAGCUUGCCUCCCAGGAGCUGCUGCUGUUGUCAGGUCAACACCAGCCAGCUAUUGGUCACAGUGGGUCCCCCUCCAUUCAAGAUUCAGGGCAUUAUGGAGUGGGGGAGAGGCAGUUUUCCAAAGGAUGGGGAUUCUUAGCACAAGAAUGGUAGAAAGUGGGAGGGAAGAAAGGGCUUGGUGGGCAAUGACAAAAGAUCACUCACUCACUCACUCACUCACUCACUGUUCUUUCUUUCUAUCUGAUGUAUUAAUGAUUCCCACAUACAACCAAAAGCAAAUUCCUCUCAGUUUAGAGAAAUCAUUCAAGGUUACAUCAAAUGACUAAGUCCAAGGGCAAUGACCAGGGACUACCAUUCUCCAAAGUCCAGCAUCACCAGUGAUACCCUGCUCUCUUUUUUCUCAAUCCCAUUUUGAAAAUCUGCAACCUGUGGAUUAACUGGUAAAAUUAAUCAUUUUCAACCAAAACUAUAUAACCCAGCAAGAAAGGAUAUAUGAGUAAAGGCUACAGUUCGUUUUUACAACUAGUGUUUAUGACCAGGAAUUUUACCUGUCAGAAUGAUCCAAACCUUCAUUUCCGAAGUCCAGCUCCUUAGUGGUCGUGUCUGGGUGGUAGCAUUUACUACCGGAUGUGACCGUACCAGGAACACCCAAGGAAUCCCCCCAAUCCACCUGAACUCCCACCAUCUUUUCCAUAGCAGCAAGCAUAACCUCUUGUUAUGUGUCACCCGAGGUAGAAGGAGCCUGAAAUGGCCAGGUGCCUCAGCUCCCAGUUCAUUUGAAUCAUUACCAUGACUUUUUGAGGAGGUGUUUCCUUGGGGACUAAACCACCCCCACCAGCCUGGUCCCAAACCUCAGGUAUGAAAUAAACACUGAGAUGUAAUGAUAACACAGCCCUCUCACUCUGCUUCCUAGCCUGUAGAAGAAAUAGCGCCAAGAAUUGGUUGCCAGUUCAGAGCUUAUGCUACAUCCCGCGAGCCUGACCCAACCUUGGAAGGUAUUGUUUUACAGCUGGUGCGAUAGCUGAGUUUUCAACAAACCAUUUCUUUAUACUAUCAAGCUAACUGCUUCUGGACUGGGGACCCUGAAAGGAUGAGUGAAUGCCACAGGCAUCAGGCAACCCCUUAUUUGACUUUGGCUGUAAACUGGGUUCUUUGGUUGAAUGUAAAAUGUGGGGAUACCUCAGUGAUGUUUACGGCAUUUGAUAAUUCUGUGGAUAUUGAUGGGGGGAGAGGUGUGAUGGGUGAGGAAAGCAAAUCCAAAUCCAGAAGAAGCGCCCAUGAUGGUCAAGAUAAAAUCCUACCAUCGUAAAGCCACGCUUCGGUGUAGGUUGGGGAGAGCUAGCAGUAGGGCGGCAGAAGGCCUGUGCGAGAGUGAGUGAGCGGCCCACAUACAUGGCUUGCCUGUACCUUCAGAACCCUACUCUGGAGUGCCCACCUGAGCAUGGAGUGCUUCUGGCCCAGCUUGAAUAUGGCUGGGUGGGUCAGAUAACCUGUCAUGAGGGACAGCAUGGCCACCUUGUAUGCCAUAGCUAAGCUUCAGGCCGCCCUGGAGCCCAGUGGUAAGCUAGAAGGCCAUGUCUCAAUAGAUACUUUUUGGCCUUAGCAUUACAUGGUUCAAAACCCUGGGUUACCCUGCCAUAUUUUUUUGAAUCAGGACUUGCCAUAGCUUCAUAUCACUCCCCAAGAUGCCUCAGACAGAUACCUCAGGCACCAUUGAAUCUGCCAGGACAUGUGGCCUGGUGGCAGAACCAUUUGUACUAAAGGCUUUCCCACCUGGAGAGCCCUCACGUGCUUUAAGCCCAACUGAAAGCUGGUGGCUUAGGUCAGUCAGUAAAAGGGCUGGAGCAACAUCCCCAGAGUGACAUUUUUUUCUGGAAUUGGGCCUUAGUGGUAAGGGAUUCUGAAUGCAAUAAUGUGUUUUACAUUGUGGAGGAAAUAUUUUGACUUCACCAGACCCCUCAAUCCCCAGGAACUUUAUCAAGGAGGCAGGCCUUUGCAUUUUCACGUGAUUUAUCGCCCACCUUUGACUCACAUAUGUCUCACCAAGGCAUUAGGGAAGCUGGUGGUGUCCAGGCCCCAUCAGCAGGAUGGCAUCAGUGUGAUGGGACACUGUGGUGGUGGGUCAAGGUCCCUGUGAACCAGGUUGUGUCAGAUAGAGCAGAGUUAAGAUACUCUAAGUACUGCUGCUCUGCCAGAUGAAGAUAAAUUGCUUCUGAUGUUCUUUGUUCGUCAAAGUAGCGGGAAAAAUAAAUUCCUUAGAUCAGAGGAUUUAUGCCAAAUGCCAGGAGCUGAAUGAGUUUGUUUUAGCAAGAAGACGUCUCACAAGCAUCACUUCUGAAAGUUGACAGCAUCCCACAGAUCUCCUGGUGCCUUGCACUGGCCAAGCUGCAUGGGGUGGGAGCCUGUGACUCCACACUCAAGUCUCCGGUACUAACACUGCUGCCUGCAGUUCCCCAGGAAUAUGGUAUCACUUUUGAUUUCUCAUUUUGCUAGGGCGGGGGAAUUCUAAUGGCUUGUACUUGUCCUGUCCUGCUACAGUCACUCUUACCCCACACAUCAGAGAGGCAUGUGGGCUUUGUGCCUGUGUCAGAAUAUAUCCAUUUCAGCUGUACACUCAAAAUAACCCCUGGUUGGCUUUGAGAUUCUGCUGGGUCUACGAAAGCAUAACAUUUGGUGUAUUAAUCACUCCCAUUGAUUGGCAGGCCUCAUGCUUUUCUGUUGUUCCCAGCAACUGGACUUAGUGUGGAGCCAGUGUCCUAUAGAACCCCUCUCCCCAAGUUUGGGUGUUUUUCCUUCCCUUCUGUAGUUCCCAGAUAAAUGGAUGAAGACCCUUUUGGGGAAGGCUACAAAGAAGGUUCACAAUAUGUACCUAACUAUUAAAAUAAGGUUUCCCUUCAAAGAUACUUGACUUCCUUUCCAUUGAGUCUGGAAAUGAAGUGGGAGAUUUUGACUCUACCUUGGCAGCUUGACACAGACCUGUUUGCCCAUGCAGAAGUCCUUAGUCAUGGCGAUAACUAGGUCAUUUCUUAGGGGGUGUCUGGUCUUUUUCAUUCCUGGGAACUAAUGAUUGAUUAGCUGCAGCAAGAGGUCCGGUUUCCAUGCCCACGUGCAUUAUGAUGACUCCCCUACUUUGUUCCAUCUCUCUGUCUCUGCUGCUGAGAUCAGGGAGCAUAUUUUCAUAGCAGCUCUCCCAACCAGCAUUCCAGCGCGGGAAAGGAAAGCCAGCAGAGCUCGCCAAUUUAUUUCUUAUGGCAAGGAGCGAGACCAUCUGGGUGCUGCCAGAGGACAGUGAGAGGGUGGAUGGACUGGAUGCAUGCCAAGGACCCAAUAAAGCAUUCUUGUCUCCUGAAAUCUGACUGUAUUGAUGCUUAGACCUGAAACAGUUUUACUAUUUGUGAUAGCUAUCCUGCUUCCCUUAUCUUCAAGCUCAAGAAAAUAGAUUGAUGUUAUAAUUACUGAUUCAGUGAGAAAGGGAGACUGGGUAAAGAGGUGAAAUGAAAGGUAAAAAAAACUGAAAAGGAGGCCACAAGAGGGGUUGUGGGGAGGGUAAGAAUAAUCAAGGAGGGCUUCCUGGAGGAUGUGGGUAUGUUUGGGAGCAGGGGAGAGUAGAGAGGAAGGCAUCUCAGAUGAGGAAGGCUCAUUAAGUAAGAGGGCAGGUGUUCAGUGGGCCAGGCCCAGAGUGGGGCCCACUUGCCCUGUUUCCCCUUUUCCCUGAGAGAGGUUGGGGUCCCCUCCUGGGCUGUGGCCUUGGGCUCUGAAUAGAGCUGGCUGGGAAGCCCAACCUACUCCAGCUCUGAACUCUGCCCAGGAAUCUCCACUGAAAUGAGAAGACAGGCCAAAGUGCAAGCAAGUUGGAUCUAGCUUGUCUUCGCAGAAAUACGUGCUUCUGCCUGUCCCUGAGAGUGGCUUGUUCACCACAAAUAUUGGGCAGAACUCCCAUUUCAGCUUGGCCUCACAGAUCUGCAAGGCCUUGCCUCUCACAGGUUCAGGAGUGAGCGCAGGAAGGGAUGUCUUCCUCCGUCACUGGGGAGCCAUGGCCAGGGCCCCCAGGCAUGCUGGAAAGGCUGGCACAUGGAGGACGACACACCAGCACUGAAAGAGUCCAUCUCUCUCCCAUCCGUGCCCUAUGGUCUGGACAACAGGGGGGCUGAGCUCUUGGAAAGCCUGGAGGAAGGCCGGAUCCCUGGCAGCGACUUGAGCCCUGCAGAAGGCAGGGACAACAGGAGCAAGGCCAGCCAGCAGCCCUUCUCAGGAUGGAGAACCCUGCAGCCAGCCCUGAAAGUGAGACACUUCUGCAGGGAGCACACACAGCUGUUUCGAUGGAUCUUCACAGGCCUGCUCUGUACUGCGUUUGCUGCCUUCCUGCUGAUUGCCUGCCUCCUGGAUUUCCAGAGGGCCCUGGCCCUGUUUGUGCUCACCUGUGUGGUCCUGGUCUUCCUGGCGCACAGCUUUCUGAAGAGGCUGCUGGGGCCAAAGCUGCGGAGGUGUGUCACGCCUUUGGGGCAUCCCUGCCUGACCCUCUGGUUUAAGAGGUGUCUAGCCCUAGCCGCUUUCCUGGGCCUGAUCCUGUGGCUGGUUCUGGACACCUCCCAACGGCCUGAGCAGCUGGUCUCCUUUGCAGGCAUCUGUGUGUUCAUCCUCCUCCUCUUUGCCUGCUCAAAGCAUCGUUGCGCAGUGUCCUGGCGGGCCGUAUUCUGGGGCCUCGGGCUACAGUUUGUACUUGGACUCGUUGUCAUCAGAACAGAACCUGGAUUUAUUGCGUUCCGGUGGCUGGGCGACCAGAUCCAGAUCUUCCUGAGUUACACCCUGGCCGGUUCCAGCUUCGUGUUUGGGGAGACUCUGGUCAAGGAUAUCUUUGCCUUUCAGGUUCUGCCCAUUAUUGUUUUCUUCAGCUGUGUCAUGUCAGUUCUGUACUACCUGGGCCUCAUGCAGUGGAUGAUCCUGAAGAUCGCUUGGCUGAUGCAGGUCACCAUGGGUACCACUGCCACUGAGACCCUGAGUGUGGCUGGAAACAUCUUUGUGAGCCAGACCGAGGCUCCUCUACUGAUCCGGCCCUACCUGGCAGACAUGACCCUCUCUGAAGUCCACGUUGUCAUGACCGGAGGCUACGCCACCAUUGCCGGCUCCCUGCUGGGUGCCUACAUCUCCUUUGGGAUCGACGCCUCCUCCUUGAUUGCUGCCUCUGUGAUGGCCGCCCCUUGUGCUUUGGCCCUCUCCAAGCUAGUCUACCCGGAGGUGGAGGAGUCUAAGUUCAGGAGUGAGGAAGGCGUGAAACUGAGCUGCGGAGAUGCUCAGAACCUCCUGGAAGCCGCCAGCAGCGGAGCUGCCAUGUCUGUGAAGGUCGUUGCCAACAUCGCAGCCAACCUGAUCGCCUUCCUGGCUGUGCUGGCCUUCGUCAACGCUGCCCUCUCCUGGCUGGGGGACAUGGUGGACAUCCAGGGGCUCAGCUUUCAGCUCAUCUGCUCCUACGUCCUUCGGCCUGUGGCCUUCUUGGUGGGCGUGCCCUGGGAGGACUGUCCGGUGGUGGCUGAGCUGCUGGGGAUCAAGCUGUUUCUGAACGAGUUUGUGGCCUACGAGGAGCUCUCCCAGUACAAGCAGCGCCGGCUCGCAGGAGCUGAGGAGUGGCUCGGCACCAAGAAGCAGUGGAUCUCUGUCAGAGCAGAAAUCCUCACCACAUAUGCCCUCUGUGGAUUUGCCAACUUCAGCUCCAUUGGGAUCAUGCUUGGGGGCCUGACCUCCAUGGUCCCCCAGCGGAGGAGUGACUUCUCCCAGAUCGUGCUCCGGGCACUCUGCACGGGGGCCUGUGUGUCCCUGGUGAACGCCUGUGUGGCAGGGAUCCUCUACAUGCCCAGGGGGCCUGAGGUCAACUGUGCAGCCCUCCUGAACACGACCCUCAGCACCAGCAGCUUCGAGGUGUACCAGUGCUGCCGCGACUUCUUCCAGAGGUGGGGUGGAGGCACUGGCUGCUGCCUGCGAGCAGUUCCCCAGGCGCGGUGGAAACAGGUCCCAGUGCCGCAGGACUGUGGAUGACCCACCUCAGCCUGGAUCCCUAGCUGCAGGGAGCAGAGCCCUCAAGAGGCCAGAGGAGGUCAGAGCCUCUGAAGCGAGCAAGUGGUGACCAACACAGGAAACAUCAUGUGACCCGAGUCAGAGUUUUACAUGCAUCCUCCCCCAGGAGUGGAUGUCCGCCAGUUAUGCUCUCCUGACCGGGAGCUCCCAAGUCCUCCACCCGAGGUUCUGCUAGAACCAGCUGUCAGGAUGAUUCUUGACAAGAGGAGGGCUAAUGGGUGAAGACAUCCAGGACAGCUGGAAGCUGCAUCGCUGAGCGAAAUUUUAACUGCAGCCAAGCAGAAAAAUAAUGGUCACGACUGAGGGAAAAGACUGCACCUGUAUAAGCAGAAAUCCCAGGCUCUGUCCCUUGGAUGGCCAGCAACAAGGAGAAUCUCUGAAGUUGGCGCUGGCAUCCCGGACAACACCGAAUUUACACAAGUCUGCUCUCCUCCCGAAGGAAGGCCAGAAAAGCCAGAGUCACCGAGCUCCCUGCUGCCUUCAUGUGGGCACUGGCACGCUUUCACAUUUCAGAGGGACGAGAGGGCCUUUUGAACUCGCUCCUUCCGGUCUUCUGGCUCCACUGGGAGUACAGCUGUUGGGUGGCCCACAAGCUGGCAGCACCACCACUGCCAAGCGUGCUGAUUAUGUGCUGGGAGAGUCCUGCCCCCACUCAGCCUUCUGUAUUCUGUGUGGCCCAGCGGCAGCUCCACAGGGACAGGCCACAGGGUGGGAACUUGUCUGAGGUCCCCUUCAUCCAACCGUGCACUCUUUUGUGCCCAGAGAAGUGUGGGUGAGUGGGAAAAUGAACCAUUUCUUAGCAACAGAACAGUUUAGCAACGACCUUCAUCACUGUGUAAAGGGCUGGGCCAAAGGGGUUAAUGAGAGAGAAUGCAGCGGGCAGAUGGGGGGGGGCAGGGCUGGUCUCUGCCACUCACAGACAUGGAGGGACCUUGGACAAUUCCCCUCUUGCCCAGCCUCUGUUUUCUUCUUUGAAAAGGGAAGUUGAAUCACAAAAUGUUAGAGCUAAAAAGGACAGGUGGCCUAGGAUGUAAGGUAGAAUACUUUUGGCUGCAGAUAUCAGAAGACCUAACCAAAAAGAGUUUAAACAACAGGUUUAUUAUGCCGCACAACAUGGAGUCAGACAUGGGUGGUUCCUGAGGGGGCGAAUUCAGCAGCUCUGUCAUUACACCCGUGACGGUGAUGACACUGGUUCUUUCCAUCUUCCCACUGUGCAUCCUCGCUUUAUCAUGGAGGUCUAGAACCCAGCCCGCAAUUCCUCUGAUGUGUGCCUGUGGUAUCUGGGGAUCAGAGAGCUGCUGUGUAUACCCCAGGAACCCACAAGCCUCACUGCCGAGCUGCUAGAGGGGCUGCCCCUUAUGCUCACCCCACAGCACUGCUGCCACCAACCCAGCUGCAGCCUCUGCCACUGACGCUGCCCGUCAGGGUGGCCUUUCCCUCCCCCGUGCCUUCUAAUCUCUAAAGUGCCUCCACUGGCCAAACCCUCUAGAAUCCAGGUGGUCAGAGCAGUGGGAUGGAAGGGGAUGGACUGAGGUCCCAACAGAUCAUAUGUGGAGCAGAACGUAUAAGAUGAAGACCAACGGCACAGAUUUCAGAGUCAGGGAGGCCUCUGUCAGGUUUGUGUCAUUAGCCUGUGACCUUGACCUCAGAGUCAGGUUUGUGUCAUUAGCCUGUGACCUUGAGCCAGUUGCCUCCCUUGUGUGAGCUUUAGUUUACUCCUUGGUAAACUAGGAGUGAUAACACACCUAUCUCGGAGUGCUGCUGGGACGGCUCACAAGACAAUUAUUAUAAAGAGCUUUUGGCGCAGUGGCCAGCAGCUUAGAAGGGGCUGUUUCUGAACACCCCCUGCUCUCCCUUCUCACUUCAGGACCUGUGUGCUUUCUCUUACCUCUGCCUGGAAUGUUCUGUCCUCUGUUUCUUAUCUCAUUAAUUCUGACACAUCCUCCUAGUCCAGCUAGGACAGUUUUAGUAAGAGACGAAAAACUAGACCCAAAGAGGCUUAAGCAAAAGCAGAAGUUAUUGGUGUUGAAGUGGAAAAAGCAAGUGUAGUUCUGACUUCAGGUGUGGCUUGACCAGGGGCUCACCCAGUGACAUCAACACUCACUAACUCUGCGUUGGCUCAUGUGCCCACCUCUAACUCCAUUUCUGUGGCCAGGGGAGUGGCACAGGCUAAACGUUCCACCCAAAUAAUUGGAGCUGAUACUAGGGGUGACUGUGGUUUCCCAGAGGAAAAUCAUGUAUAGUUAUAAGAAGGAUGAAUGGGUGCUGGGCAUGAAAAACAGCUGUCCACUCAUGUUUCAGCUCAGGACAAACUUCCUGGUACUCACUCCGCUCUGCCCAAGAUUAAGUCAUUUCCUACUGUGAUACACACUCAGAGCUCCUUGGACGUCACAGCACUCAUCAGCUUGUAAUUAUACUCUUGUGAAGUUGAAUGAUGCCUGUCUCCCACCCCAGGUGAGCGCCAAGGGCUAUUUCUGUCAUCGUAGCCUCAGUGUCCAGACUACUGCCUACACAUGCUACACUCAGUAAAGUCUGUAUAUGAAGGAGUGACUUUGGGACCCUCGUUAUGAUGAGGCCCAGCCUGCUAUCUUGACUUUUUCCAGUUGCACUGCCACUUAGGCCAGAACCUUCCCCACUUCAAAUCCUUUUGCCCCCUGCAAGUAGGCAUGGGGACACUUACACAGGACACAGUCCCCGGAGAAGAGAAUGACAGUUUUCCCAGGGGACCUGGGCAGCCCAGGACCCAGAACUCUGGGCGGGUGAUUCAGGCGAGCAGAAGUGACUGGAUGAAUCAGGCGAGGAGCUGGGGGAAAGGAGGGUUAGUUUGGAUUAGGAGCUUUUAGAGGACUGAUUCAUGAUGGCUGCGGCUGACAUAAAAAGCCCCGCAUACUUUUGGUAACCAGGGUCCUGCUCUGUAUUUUGCCCCACAUUCCUGGGAAUGAAGCAGCCCUCAGUUGUUCUGGGGUAUAUCAUAUUUCACUUUCUGCUUCUAACACACCAGUGAUGUUUGGCCCCUCAGUCUCCCGUAUGUAACUCAUUAUUGUCAAAGCUGAUUUUCAUGGAAGCUGUUGCACAGCGGAGACGUGUUGGGCUUUGGUGUCAGGGCACAGUUUGCAACCUGGUUCUGCUGUCUGCAUUCUGUGUGACCUAGGACAAGUUACUUAACCUCUCUGAGCCUCCACUUCCCCUCCAGUAAAGUGAGGAUAAUAAUGCCAACCCCACGGGGCUUUGUGGGGAUUUAGAUGGGGGCGUUUCUGUGUAGUGUGAGCCCCAGGCCUCACCUAAGCUUUGGCAGGAUGGUGGAAGGAGUGGGGAGAGACAUAUGUUUUGCAUGAGGAAGGAGAAUGGGGGCUCUGUUCUCUCUUUAGUUCUGCUCAGAGGUGGGUGUGAGUCUUGAGUCCCCAAGAGAAAGCCUGUGGACAGAAGGUGGAAGGGCUCGUUGCCCAGAUGUAAACCCUGCAAGACACAGGGCACAAACAUUGUGGCUUCAGGGCCUGGAGAGAAUGUGAGACAUCAGGUGUGUGCAUUUGAAUGUGUGUGUGGGAGGGUUGUAAGGAUGUAUACGGUGACCCACCAGCCUGAUUUGCCGGGGACUGAGGGUUUCCCAGGAUUCAGGACUUUCAAUGUUAAAACUGGUAGAGUCUUGGGCAAAUGGACACACGGCUGCCACCCUGUCAGUGUGCCUUUUCCCGUGUGUGCCUGGAGCCCAGAGGAACCUUGGCACCCUGAGGACUCCAGGGCCUCAGGUUUCACAGCACCAGGAGUCAGGGCCUGGGGCUCAGUGAUGGGGCAGUGAUGGGGUAAUUACGCUUCCUCACCUCAAACCCACCCUCUGACACUCCCAGAAGUAAGUGGGUGAAGCUUUGCUGGAGGCUGGAGGCCUGCAGGGGGCUGGACGAGGGAAGAGCCAGCCAAAUGUGGGUGAUAACUCUCCCAAGAUCCCAGGUGAGGCCUGGGGAAACUUGGCUUCCACAUAAUGGCCAACCCUGGGCCUGGCACUUAGUGUGACUUUUGUCAUUGGAUUUUCUAACUGGUCAUGGAUCACCUACAGUACUACACUUUUUUUUUAACUUUGAAUCUAACCGUUUUAGAGAAAUCUUUCACCUUAAUAACUUUGGAGUUGAUUUUAAGUGUCUUGGAUAUAACGUUAUGUUACCUGCUGUGAAUGAUAUUAAUACAUUUUAUCUCCAGUCUCAUUAUCUGUAUCCUUAAUUUCUAAGUCAUGUCUCAUUGCCCUUCUCAGAACAUCUAGUCAAUGCUGGAUAAUAGCAGCAGUGGGGGCUGGUCCUACGUCUUAUCUCUGAUUCCAUUAGUUAUGCUCCUGUCAAGUGCUUCUUGGCUGAAAAACUCUUUAGAAUUGUGCCCGUUGAGUCCCAGCCCUGGGGAGUGUUCUAGUGCAUUCACUACUACGUAUCUAGAAAGCUCUUAGCUGGAAAUAAAUACGCUUCAUUGUAUUAAAGAAGCAUCCUUCUGUUUUUAAAAGAGUCUUUAAAAGAUGAGUAUUGGGUUUUAUUAAAGCCUUGCGGGAACCCUGGUUCCAAGAAACCUCAGUAUCUUCCUCUAUAAAAUGGGGGGCAGGGGGAGGGAGGAGUAGGGGGAUAAUAGU